AUAUAACAUUCUUUGAUUGAUUUAUUUUGAUUUAGGGUUUCAUUUGUUGAUUGUUAGCAAUUCGAUUUUACUCAGUUUGGCGACGAAUCGGUUGAUUACUGCAGAGGAUCAUGCCGCGAUCCUGAUUAUGAUGAAGGGUUUGAAUUUUUUUGUAUUGCAGAUGGUUGUGAUGUUGAUGGGAGGUGUUCUUCGCUUCUUUCGCUGGUUAAGGCUUUUGAUUCUGUUCUCGCUUUUUAUAAUGGGUUCUGUGAUCUGAAGUAGGUGCAUCUAUUGUUAUGUUUCAUGGGGACUUGCCUUACUCAUCAAAAGACAUCCUCAAGAAGCUCGAGACUUUGAAUGAUAAACAUAUUAUUGGUUCUGGUGGCUUUGGAACUGCAUCCAAGCUAGAUAUGGAUGAUGACAAUAUUUUUGCUCUGAAAAGAAUAGUAAAGACAAAUGAAGGUCUUGACCGCUUUUUUGAUAGGGAACUUGAGAUCUUGGGCAGUAUUAAACAAAUAUCGUUAUUUGGUAAAUCUACGUGGGUAUUGCAAUUCACAGUCAUCUAAGUUAUUAAUUUAUGAUUUUUUGUCUGGCGGGAGCUUGGAUGAAGCUUUUUACAUGAUUGAUUUGAAGCUGAAAUUGUGUCGGGGCUCUUCGACUAAAAAGAUUUUGGUUCGAGAGACGAUGAGUUAUGAAGCUAAUAAUCUCAUUUUAGGGAUCAAAAAGAAUUGCCGGGGCAUUAGGUCUUCAUCUACCUCGAUCGCAAAGUAAUGUUCGAAGAAACGGCCGAAGGAUUGCUCGGUUCGUGCAGUGAGCAAUGGCAAGAUUGUAUUCCAGAGAUAAUCCACAAUGGGGUUUCCAGCAUGCCUUGAGGAAGAGACCGUGACCAAGUUUUUGCUGGAUUGUUUGUUAACAAAUUAAGACUUAGAGAAAGGACAGAUCCAACUUGGAGAUACGCCAGAGCCCGAGUAUCCUCACCAGGAGUGCUUUGUAGACAGAGCAGAAUAAGAAGUCGAAGCCUAGUUUUUCUUUUAUAAGUUGAUGGUCCUAGUUUACUUUUGUAGUUCUUUCUAUUUCCGUUGAUGAUGUAUCUUUGUAUCUCUUCAGCAUUUUGUUGGACUAUUUUGUAAUAAGGGCAUGUUUGACCCAAACUUUAUG